rnacentral:rRNA from 1 species
GACGAACGCUGGCGGCGUGCUUAACACAUGCAAGUCGAACGGAAAGGCCCUGCUUUUGUUGGUUUCUCGAUUGGCGAACGGGUGAGUAACACGUGAGUAACCUGCCCUUGACUUUGUGAUAACUUCAGGAAACUGGGGCUCAUACCGGAUAUGAUCUCCUGCUGCAUGUUGGGGGUUGGAAAGUUUCGGCGGUUGGGGAUGGACUCGCGGCUUAUCAGCUUGUUGGUGGGGUAGUGGCUUACCAAGGCUUUGACGGGUAGCCGGCCUGAGAGGGUGACCGGCCACAUGGGGACUGAGAGACGGACCAGACUCGUACGGGAGGCAGCAGUGGGGAAUAUUGCACAAUGGGCGGAAGCCUGAUGCAGCAACGCCGCGUGCGGGAUGACGGCCUUCGGGUUGUAAACAGAUUUCGACGGUGACGAAGAGGGAGUGACGGUAAUGGGUAAAGAAGCAACGGCUAACUACGUG